rnacentral:rRNA from 1 species
AACGCUAGCGGGAGGCUCACACAUGUUCAAACCGAGCGGUAGAGAUUCUCCGGAAUCUUAAGAGCGGCGCACGGGUGCGGAACACGUGUGCAACCUGCCUUUAUCUGGGGGAUAGCCUUUCGAAAGGGAGAUUAAUACCCCAUAAUAUAAUGAGUGGCAUCGCUUAUUAUUUGAAAACUCCGGUGGAUAGAGAUGGGCACGCGCAAGAUUAGAUAGUUGGUGAGGUAACGGCUCACCAAGUCAAUGAUCUUUAGUGGGGCCUGAGAGGGUGAUCCCCCACACUGGUACUGAAGACACGGACCAGACUCCUACGGGAGGCAGCAGUGAGGAAUAUUGGACAAUGGGUGAGAGCCUGAUCCAGCCAUCCCGACGUAGAAGGACGACGGACCUAUGGGUUGUAAAACUUCUUUUGUACAGGGAUAAACCUUUCCACGAUGUGGAAAGCUGAAGGUAACUGUACGAAUAAGCCACCGGCAUAAGUCCGUCCAGCAGCCGCGGUAAUACGGAGGGUGCAAGCGUUAUCCGGAUUUAUUGGGUUUAAAGGGUCCGUAUGCGGAUCUGUAAGUCAGUGGUGAAAUCUCAUAGCUUAACUAUGAAACUGCCAU